GCUCUGGCUCCCCUCUGAACCAGCAGAGAAAGGAAUUCUUAGGGCCUCCCUUUGUCAAGGAAUCAGGUUUUUCUCAUUUAACCAAUGGCUGUUAUCCCUGCUGUCAGCUGUUAGCAUAUAACAUUAGUAUGUUGGAUGUUUAUUUUUUUGAUCCCACAGUUCACGCAUCAGUAAAGAUGUUUUCAGUGGCCAGAAACAGAACUUCUAUUCAGUUGGCUUAGACAAUAAAGAAAGUGUAUUCUGUCACAGAACAAGAAGUCCAGGGGAAGACUAGCUUCAGCAGAGGUUAGUCCUGCCGCUCAACAUCAUCAUCAAGGACCCAGGUUUAUUCUCUGCUUGUGGCGUUGUCCUUGGCUAGCUUGCUUCAUGGUCACAAGAUGGCUGCUGCCACCCCAGACAUCACAUUGUCACAAAACAAUGUCCAUAGCAGCAAAACAAAAAACAUACACAAAAAAUACCCCAGGAAACAUCUCAUCCUUGUGUCCCAUUUUAAGACCAAAGAAAGUUUUUCCCAGAAGUCCUCAGAAGACUGUCUCACACUGCUCAUUGGCUAGAAUUGAGCCACAUCCCAUGCCUGAAUCUAUCCCAAGCAAGGUGGAUACUGCCACUAUUACUGCCCUGAGCCCAGAAGGAGAAGGAAAAACACCUGGAACAAACCCAGUCUCAGCAGGGUUCUUCGUUGAAAGCAACAGAAAGCUCACGGACUCCUCGGGCUGGCUGGAGAGCUAAGCUCAGGAACCAGGGAGGACCGGACAGCAGCCAGAACCCCUGCCAAAUCACACCUCAGGGCUAGAGCAGGGAGGACAACAGUGAAACUGGCCCUGAGGCUCCUCUGGCCCUGGAAACCUCCUGGGGCGGCUGCCGCCAAUUCUGUCAGAUACAUCCCAUCACCGUGUCUUUGUAUCACCUGCUAAGAUUCAGAGUUCCUGGGGGUGCAUCUGAUUGGCUGAGCCAGAUCAUAUGCCUGCCCUACAGCUGCAAAGGAGGCUGGGAAAGUGAGGUCAGGUUUUCAUGGUGGGAGAAGGGCUCUGCUUGCCCAUGACUUGCAAGGUAGGGGAUGCAGGAGAGCCACAGAAAGAGUAAAGGGGCACUCUGCUGGGUGAGAGGCCAUGGGCUCCCCGAGAGGCAGGGCUGUGGCUGUUUAUCCCACGCCCCACCCCCAGUGUUGGGAGCAGGUAUGCUCUCAACAGGCUUCAGGAAAGUGUCCAGUGAUCUGACUCACCUGGACUCGGAGAACCGUGGUGCCGGAGGGACCACCUUGGGAUUCCUGCAAAAGAGGUUUGAGGACAAAUGUAGAACUGCCGCUUUUUAUUUUGCCAAGUAAGACUAUCAAAAGCAAACAAUAAAUAAACCACUUUCUACCCUCACCAUUUCAUAAAAGAGGGGACAUCUUAAACACCAAUAAAACUAAAAGGACCAGGGAGAGCAUGAUUUUAGAAUCGAGCACAAUCCUUCAAGCUAAAUACACGUUAGCUUUAAGAAAAUCUCUCUGUCGUCCGGAUGUUUCUACUUUCGCUGGAAACCUAUGAAAAGGUCAUGACACAACUGACUUUGAACAUGGACUGUGGACUAGAUAAUGGUGUUGUAUCAGUGCCCUGAGCUAACAUCUGCUGCCAAUCCUCGUCUUUUUGCUGAGGAAGACUGGCCCUGACCUCACAUCCAUGCCCAUCUUCCUCUACUUUAUACGUGGGACGCCUACCACAGCAUGGCUUGAUGAGUGGUGCCAUGUCCGCAGCCGGGAUCUGAACCGGCAAACCCUGGGCCGCCGAAGCGGAACGUGCGCACUUAAACACUGUGCCACCGGGCCGGCCCCUACUCAUCUCUUAGGUGGGGAAACUGAGAGGUUCUGGGACUUGCCCAAGAUCAUACUGCAAGUUCCAGACUCUGUAGUGGGGGACAGAGUAAUUGGUCAGAUUUGGCUAAGUCAUCUCAAGUCCAAGUUAGGAACAUAGGAAGGGAGGGGCCUUGGGAAUUAGAGGGGAAAAGGGAAGGGAAGCCUGCAGUGUUCAGAUUGGGAAAUUCCCCUUCCCUUCCCCUUCUCACUCUCAAUGUAGCUUCUGUUCCCCUGAGCUUGAAAGAAGAAACAGUGUUUUGCAGGUGCACCAUGUUCUACAACUUAAUGAG
rnacentral:lncRNA from 1 species